GACGAACGCUGGCGGCGUGCUUAACACAUGCAAGUCGAACGGAAAGGCCCUGCUUUUGUGGGGUGCUCGAGUGGCGAACGGGUGAGUAACACGUGAGUAACCUGCCCUUGACUUUGGGAUAACUUCAGGAAACUGGGGCUAAUACCGGAUAGGAGCUCCUGCUGCAUGGUGGGGGUUGGAAAGUUUCGGCGGUUGGGGCUGGACUCGCGGCUUAUCAGCUUGUUGGUGGGGUAGUGGCUUACCAAGGCUUUGACGGGUAGCCGGCCUGAGUGGGUGACCGGCCCCAUUGGGACUGAGAUACGGCCCAGACGCCUACGGGAGGCAGCAGUGGGGAAUAGUGCACAAUGGGCGGAAGCCGGAUGCAGCAACGCCGCGUGCGGGAUGACGGCCUUCGGGUUGUAAACCGCUUUCGCCUGUGACGAAGCGUGAGUGACGGUAAUGGGUAAAGAAGCACCGGCUAACUACGUG
rnacentral:rRNA from 1 species